GACUUCGUGGUUCAGCUGAUAGAGCACUCGCCGCUAAUGAGCAUGCUGUUCCGGCCGCUGGUUCGAAUCCAGCCGAAGUCC
rnacentral:tRNA from 1 species